UGUCCAAUCGGCGUACACGACGCAGAGCGUGCUAAGGGAAAGGACAGAACCACCAGCUUCUUGUUCGACUCGACGCUCUUGUCGUGGCCGCAGGCCCGACGAAGGACAGGGCCGACCGAUACGAGUACGACUAAGGUCCUCGCUGCUGCUCCCGCCGCUACCUGAGACCUAGUUAGAGCCGCCGUUCCCUAGGUCUCCGCGCGCUCCUCGGCACGCAUAACUUCUUCCCGCCAUUGCGAAACGGGCUUAGCCGGCAUCCGAGUGGCCUAAGCCGGCAGCCUCGCCGGAGCCGCCUGUACGCAACCAACCUAGUUCCUCCCCCGAAACUGACUACAGGUCAGGAGGCCGCGAAGGACGUUCUGGAAGUUAAGACCCCCACCUCUACACCGCAGGCGUUUGGGGCCCACAGCGUGUGGAGGUAGCUCAGGUCGGAGGCGUCACGGUGCCGCCUUAGGACGUGCUGUAAGUCAAGACCCCCGCACCCGCACAGCAGCCGUACUCAGACGCUGUUCUGCGGCCGCCAGUAAGCUCGACGCGGCACGUCAGGAAUCCGGUGUUGCCAGGCCGAUGCCCGUUGUGGUGGUAGGCGCAACCGACCUUCGCGUCCGGUUCUCCAAGAGCACGCGGUCUGCUCUGCCGACAUCAUCAACUAGCGCAAAACGGCGAACUUCGACGGUAAGCUCCUAAGCGACCAUCCCCCUGACUCCACCACCAGUUGUGCCGCGAACCGUGUUAAAAACUAAGCGACCGUCUCCGCAUACUUAAGAUGUUAGAGAUAAGCACCCUCCACGCCAAACCCUAAGCUAUGCCGUUUUCGUCCGUUUUACAGUUAACGUGGUUUACAUACGUUCUCUAACACACGCCGACGCGACAUUCGGGGAAAAAACACAAAUAUAAAACACGAACCCACGGCACGUACCGAACAAAAUACGCCCUUACUCGACUGUAUAAAAAGGAGAAAUAACAAAACAUUGAUUUAAUGUCCCGUUUGGUCUCUCCCUCUUGUCAACACUGUACACUAAAAGUAAAAGGUUAUUCCCUACAGUGUUGAACAACCCUGACAUUUUAACUGAAUCACGACAAUACGAAUGUAAAGGACGAAACUGCAAGGAGGACUCCAAAACUUUUGCUCAACUAUACGACCGAGCGACACACCGCCGUAGAGAAAAUAUAACCAACUUGGAAAAAGACAGUCACGUUUAAUACUAUUCACGG
rnacentral:rRNA from 1 species